rnacentral:lncRNA from 1 species
AAAAACUUGGUGAAGUUUUUUGUUAUGAAGGCAAUUUGUUCCUUAUCCAGUUCAAUCUCUUCAUCACUAUCAGAAGCCUUCAAGGCCAAGAUUUUUUCAGAAGCCUUCUGUUCCUUAAUGCCAUCAACUUCCAUUUCAUAGGUUCUUAAAUUCCCUACUAGUUCAUCCAAAGUCAUACCUGUGAGAUCCUUAUUUGCUUUCCUAAUU